CCUGAGACUAUUGUUAUGACUGCCCAGUAUCCAAACACCCUUCUUACUGGGGGACAACCCCAAAUUAGGUAGAGCACAGGAGCCAGCCUCCUGCUCCAGAGGCUCCAGCCACCCAGGACAUGCACAUGUACCGGAGCUUAGCCAAGCAGAGCCAUAGACAUGAAGAGAGAGGGAGAGGUAUAUCUUUCUAAGGUGGCCUCAGUAGUAGCGAUGAACCUGGAGCAACACGUCCUCUGGCAUCUUAUGGUGGUGUUCGGUCGUCAGUUGGUUCUGGAACCAAAGCCCGGCUGUGCUCUCACUGUGCAUCCUUGUUUCUGCCCACUCUUGGCACCUCCCCACAGGUUCUCAUUAAAGCUGUCCUUGAUCUCCACAACUUCCUGCCGACUGCUGCUAAGAAAUCUGACUCCCGGAGCUCUGUCAAGGGCAGGAUGUUAAUGCAAGAACCACCCCUGCUCUUGAGGGCCUUCCCAGUUUCCUUCAGGAUUUAAGGUACCUCUUGUCAUAGGUAUCCUUCACUAGAUGAUUAUAGAAGAUAUUUAACCAGUGGUUCUCUUUGAAUUUCAAAGGAGCAUCACUGCGUCCUGUCGGGGUAAUCAGGGAUGAAUUCUCGAAGAGCACUGAUUUGAUUUUUUUUUUCUUUUUAUGAAUGACUUUUAAUUAAAAAUUUUUUUUUCAUUUAAAAAAUUACUGUUUAUUAAGUGGUUCCUAUAGAAAUAACUUCUUUUCAAGGUCACUUUUUUAAAGGUGGAAAUGGGCAGGACAGAGGCAUUGCAGAAGAGGGGGGAGAAUGGGGAUAAGUAUAUGGGAGAUUCCAAUAAUAUUCAUUGAGAAAGAAAAUCCUUUGGAGUAAGAGGAAAAGAGUAAUUUGGAGCUACCUAGUGGAGGUCCUUGAAUAGAGAACAGAGUUUUGUUCCGGGGGAGUAUAGGGCAGGAAUCCCUAGUUUCUUUUCUGUCCUUGAAUCUUCCUGUAGGAAUUGCUUCUCUGCUUUUCAGUGGAUGGGCCUAGUUCAUGGAAAACUAGAGAACUUGCUGUUGGAUUCUCUUCCUUCCUCCUUCACCUCUAUUGAUAAACUCUGAUAACUUCCUUUCCGUCAGGUGAAGGAGUUGGGCUUGCUCAUUCCUAACGGAUGACUUUUCUCCAUGCUUUAGUCCCUGCAUUUGUCAUUUUGGUGGGAAGCCUGUCUCAUUUGGCAUGGGUUUUGUAGGUUUAUAGGCUACAGUUUGCUGAGCUCCCUUGCUAAUAUGAAAAAUCACAUUUCUGCCUUUAUUUCUUUGGGUUGCUUGAAUUUUUAAAAUUGGGCAAGUUUUUAAAAAUUAUUUAUUUAUUAAAAAAAUUUUUUUUGGCCAUGCCCACAGCAUGUGGAAAUUCCUAGACCAGGGAUGGAAACCAAGCCACAACAGCGACCCAAACCGCUGCAGUGACAGCACCAGAUCA
rnacentral:lncRNA from 1 species